GCGGAGCGGUGCCGCCUCCCGCCCCGGCCGGUCCCCUCAUGGCGGGAGCCGCUGCGUCGAUCGCCGACCCCCGGGACAGGGCGGGCAGGUGGGAGCCGCGGUAUGAGGAGGGGCCGCGGGCCGCCGCAGCACGCUGGCGGUGGGGCCGGCUCCUGUGGGGCGGCCGGGGCCCGGCGCAACCGCCUCGCUCGGGGCCCGCCCGCGCCCCGUGCCGCCGUGCCCCCGGAGCCGCCCGCGUUGCAUAACGGCGCGCGCCGCGGGCGGCUGCCGGAUUACACGGGGCAGAUUAGAGAUUACGUUGAUUCAGCAGAUUGUCCGGUGCAUGUCUGGGAAAGAUUACACCGGCAGAGUUAAGAAUACCCAUUUGCUGUGGUGCUGUUUUAGAAGAAUAGCCUCUGACCAAGAAUAAAAAUUGUCGGAAUAAUAUGCGAACAGAUCAUGAAGAACUCUGUGGCACCAGUUAUGGAUCUUUUUGUCUAAAUGGAGGGAUUUGCUAUAUGAUUCCUACUGUAUCCAGUCCAUUCUGCAGGUGUAUUGAGAACUACACAGGAGCCCGUUGCGAGGAAGUUUUGCUGCCCAGCAUCAAGUCCCAAGCAAAAGGUGACCUGUUCGCAGCUUUCUUGGCUUCACUUCUUCUUCUAGGAGUCCUUGUAAUUGGAGCAUUCUACUUCCUUUGCAGGAAAGCUUCAAUUCCAAGGACAAGUUCUUCGGAGUGUGGUGCCAGCCUGGUUGAGACUACAAGCAGCAAUGGCUGCAACAAAAUAAUAACAGAGCAUUAGAGUGGAAGAAUGGUGGGAAAAGAACAUGCAGAGCAACCCUAAGAAUACAACAGCUGUAGAGGAUGAUGCGGAUUCUCUUUCUCAGACGAAGACAGACCAAAUGACACGGUCCAUCUCUCUUUCUGCCUUGAGAACAGAAAGAGACUGUCCGGUUAGUCAGAGGCAUAGAAAAUGUGAACUGAACCAUUCUCUUUUCAACUCAUUCCUAGCACUGGAGGUUGAAACCAGCAAAAAUCAGACACGUUUCCAUAAUGGCACAUCACCUAGCAGCUCAUUAUAUGGGAUUUAUAAGGUUGUAUUGAAGAGAAAAUUAAUUGAGAAAACUUCAGUAAUUGCAAAGGGAGAAAAUGCAGAAUACAGAUUUCCUAUCUCUGAAAUAAACAAUCUGGACAUGUAUAAAAAUACAGGUGCAAAGAAAAUGUUGAAUAACCUUCUGUUUCUAGGGUGUCUACUCCAUGCUGUAGUGUCAGAAAACAUAGCGUGUAUUUUCUAUCAACGUAGACAAAAUUACCACAAGACAGAGAAGAAGAGACAUGCUGUUACAGUGUGUAAGUAGCCCAAACACUGGGGCAAAGUAAAAUGAAAGAAGAAGGAAUGGCUCUCCAAAGAAAACAAGAGGAUUUCUCUGUGCUGCAUAGUCUUUUGAUUUAUAUUGUUAAAUAUUAAGCGGGAAGACCAACAGGAAGUCCGUUUGAUACCACUUCCCAUUUUAAAGGUACCUUCGAUGUUGUGCGACCCCUUCACAAUUUACUGCACUCCAAAAAAAAAAAAAUUUCCUUCUGGCCCUGCAUCUUUGAAGAGCAGUAGAGAGGUUCUGGUAGUAUGAUUCAGUUAUUUGAAAAUGGAAAGCAGAGGAGAAAUGAAGGAGAGAACUUACCACAACAGAAACGGUGUCUGUGCCACUGCUGUCUGUUGUGAGCGUUCUGACUAGGAGCUACCAAACUGACCCGAGUCCAGGCAGAAAGGGAAAGCUGUGAGCUUACCUGAAAGGGGAAAUUCCUGCUGCGUGUUCAGCUGUUCCUGUAUCAGGACAUACUUGCCCAGAAAGGGAUGCUCAGGGACAGGGAGAGCUUUAGCCAGAGGUGGUUAUGGACUUAACAUCAGACAGCCAACUUUUCUACAUUAAAAAAUGAAACAACUCAACCCAACCCGCUGAAUUAUGUUCCUUUGGCAUUUAGCACCCUUUCAGAUUUAAAGGACAUAAAGCUAUCUCCACUAAAAAUUGAAAAGACUGUGGAUUAGUUUGGGUAAGAGUUUUUACUUGUACUAUGACCAUAUUCAGACCCAGGAAUAUUAAUGAAGACAUACCUGUUCAAGUUUGAAAAAAAACCCUAGAACUAAAUUGUGUUAUGAUUCUCUGGCAAUGUUGUUUAGAUUACCAGGAUGUGUAUGUUCACUGUACCUCUCUCAGUUAUAAUGCCUUUUGUUGACAUAUAUAUACUUAAAUGAAGAGAUGGAAUAUUCCUGUAUCUCAGAUUAUAUGGAAUAACCAGAAGAAUCCAGACAUAAAUUAUUUGGGUUUUGUGGUUGAGAUCAGUGGAAAAGGCUUUUUUCAAGAAAGUACUGCAGUAUUUCCUGCACUUUGGAGGAAAAUGAGCAAAGAAAAAAAAAAAAAAACCAAACCCAAAAACUUCAUUAUUGUGUGUAACUGUCUGCUUGUGUUUAUCCAAAGCCUGUUCUUGCUUUUCUUCCAAUUGUAACCUGUUCAACAUAAUCUGCAUGUAAUGUCGGAUCAGUUUCUUGAUAGCACAGUACCAAAUACAAGUUUUGUGAAAUGCCCAUAGGCAGGUUGCCACUCAGUUCCAUGUUUGGGACUGAUACUCCACAAAACCUUUCGCAAGGAAUUAUUUCUGUAGCUAGCUAAGUGCGUGUAAACAGAACCUGCGGCUGUAGAACCUGAAAUGGCAGGAAGAUACUGCUGUUUUCAUGCCCCGAACUGCAACUACAACCAACCUCUAACACUUCCAAAAGCACCUGUAUGUCUGUGUAAGAUUUGAACCUUCUUUUUCAGUGUACGUUGAAAGAGACUGUUUUCAAAUUAUCCUCUCAAUGUAUUUUGCAUAGAACUUUUGAACAGGGAAAUGACGGGCUCUAAAAAUGUAGCUGAGCACCCACUGGUGGCAUUUUUUAACAGGGCUCUCUAAUUUGAAUCUAUGCUCUCCAUCACAGAAUUUGCUGCUGUUUCAAACUAUUCAGUCAUUUUCACCUGUUCUGGAGAUUCUAGGAGAGUUCCUGUUUUGAGGGGAUUAGUGUUUGCUCUUACUGCUGCCAUGCUGGCAACUUAGCUAAGACAAGCUUACGUUAAAAAAGCUGUUUCUAACUCUUAUAGCUGUGAAAAUUAUCUCAGAGAAGGUGACAUGACUGCCACUGAUUCAAUGACAGGAAUCACUCUAAAACAUUUAUUUUGAGAAGUUUGUGCUACCUGCUAAUCUCAGUGAGGAUCUGUGAAAUGUCAUGAUGACAAAUUAUACGUUGCUUUUUAAAAGCGCUUGGAAGCACAAAUCCCACUGAUUUAGGAAUAAAGUUUUUGCUCCUAAAUUAUCAAAGCACUUGAAAAAAAUUCCAAUUAGCUAUUUCUCUGCUAAUAAUUCUAACGUAAGUAUCUGGGUAAUAUUUCCAAAUAAUCCAAACCUAUCUUAUGCAUCUCCUUUGGAACAAAAGGUUUGUAGUUUUUUGCUGUAGCUAUAUGUUGUCUGUUUAGGAAAAUACCCUCAUUAUGUCUCGUUAUGAAGUGCUGGUGGGCACAGAAUAAUCAGUACAAGGGUCCCACAGUGUCUGAAGUCGUAUUUGUUUGACCCAGAACUGGGGUACAGGACCAAGGCACACCCCGCCACCACCAGGACUUAGCACAAUUUACCUUGCUGCAUACCUUUGAGCCUGUAGUUGCAAGAGACACAUUCCUAGAGAGAACUCGGGGCUAAUGCAGGGCCCUUCCAAACCAGCCUCUUCUGGAGCCUGUCCCUGGCUGAGAAACAGCUUGGGAACAGGAAAAAAUUCAAGUAAGAAAUUUGAUAAUUAGAGUCUUAACGUUUAUCUUGCCUGCUUUUGUGUGCACAAAAUACAACAGCUGUAUUAAGAUGGAAUGUAUUUUAGAGAUCUACCUCAGACUCGUAACAGUAAAAAAAAAAAAAUUUCUUCCCCACAAUAUAAUCAUGAAAAAUAAUUACAUGGUGGGGAAAUAAUUAUUUUCUUAAUAUUUGCAGAGUGCUCAGAAAUUACAAAAGACCCUAGAGAAGGCCAUUUAAAUGUACAUGUUUACUGUCUUUGUAACUUAACUAUAUAAACUUCCAGACCUCAAACGUUACUUUCCUGUAUCAUUCCAUUGAGUAAAACAGAAGUAGGCAUCUGAA